UAUUCUUUCAAAUUUAAAAAACUUGAUGAAAUAUUUUCAAAAAUCAGAUGUUCACAAUACCCUACCUCAUAGCAGGCAAAUCUACUGCCAUCGUUGUGUUUAGCCGAUUGGCGACGAUAGAGCAAUAGAACAUAGUAAAGAGAGUAGAGGGAAGAUUUUUACUCCUUUCAAAGAAGUAACCAAAAAUACCACCAGCACAACCGAAACCAAAACCACCAACUAUGGCUUCGUCAUCACCAAACUUACGUGGCGACAUGUCGAUUACGAGUAUGGUUCUACACUGAGUGGCUCUUCUAGAAGAUCUACAUCCACUAUGUUACCUAGGCUAUCUCGUCUCCACUAUAGCCCUACUCGGUCAUGGUUGCUUUGAUAGGAUUCAUUGCUAACUGUUAGAGAUUCUCCAAAUCAGAUUUUGAAUGUUUAUGUAGAUAAGGCUCCAAACACCUGCUAACGUUAUCACUUCAUCAGAUUGCUCCAACUACCUGAUAACCUUACCAGUGUAUUAGAUUAGUCAAGCUCUGUUUUUCAAUUACAUCUUCUUCUUAUCCUUCAAUUGUAUGUGUUCCUAUACUAUAUAUAAAUAGCAUCAUCUUUGUAAAGAAAUAUGUAUCGGAUUACAUUCAAAUACCAUUUUUUGUAUAAAGUGUUGAUCUCUUUAUGGUAUCAGAGCCUUAAAGCUCCCACGAGCAAACAUUUUUCUCCUUCUUCCUUAUGGCCGAAAAUAACCAAAUCCCGGCGACAAUCAAUGGCAAUCCCCCUGCACAAUUUCUUGUAGCCAUUAACACUGUAGCCCAACUUUCACCGAACAACUACCCAUCCUGGAGAGCACAAUUAAAUUCUCUUCUAUUUAGCUAUGAUCUUUUGGGAUUUAUAGAUGGCACCAGACCCAGUCCACCUGAAACUAUUCUACAGAAUAAUGCACCUGCUCCAAAUCCUGUUUUUCUUCAAUGGAAGCGCCAAGAUCAGCUCUUAUUCCAUGCGAUCAUGGCCUCCUUGUUUGAACCUGUCAUGCCACUAAUUGCUUUCUCUGCUACCUCACAAGAAGCUUGGUCUCGUGUAGAAAGACUCUACGCUAAUCGAGCUCGUUCUCGAAUCAUGCAUCUGAAGGAACGCCUCUAUCUGAUGACAAAGGGAUCCAAAUCCGUGUCUGAAUAUCUUCAAACUAUUAAGUAUAUUAUUGAUGGGCUCUCUCUAAUUAAUGCUCCACUUGCAGAAGAUGACUUGAUCAUUUUUUUCCCUCAAUGGUCUUGGUCCAGAAUUCAAAGAAAUUGCAGCUGCUGUUUGUGCUCGUGAAAACCCAAUCUCCUUUGAGGAACUCCAUGAUAAGCUGGUUGAGCAAGAAGAAGCUGUCAAGCGUGAGGGAACUCGACCUGAAUUAUCUCCCAUUACAGCUAAUUUUACAAGAAAUGGAUAUACCAAUAACAACAACAGAGUUCCUUAUCAGAACUACAGAGGUAGUAACUUCCAACAGUGCAAUCCAAAUCCUAAUCAUGGCCAUCAUCAAAAUCAAAAUUCAAAUCGAAGUCAGAACAACAACUACAGAAGAAAUCAACCAGUGGUCCAGUGGUCACUUGCCAAAUCUGUGAAGAGCGUGAACGUUCUGCUCGACAAUGUCGUAUGCUCAAAGACAAGCUCUCAUCUCAACCAGUUGUCAAUCACACAUCCAUGAAAGAUUCGAACUCCAGUUGGGUUAUCAUGUUACUGCUGAUCUUGACGAUCUCUCUCUUCACCAAGGAUACGAAGGUAAUGAUGAUGUUCUUAUUGGAGAUGGUUCUAGGGUCACCAUAACAUACACGGGUUCUACUCAUCUUUCUUAUAAUUCUAAACAUUUUUUGCUAUCUAAUGUUCUUUGUGUUCCUUCAAUUCAAAAGAAUUUAACAUCUGUCUCAAAAUUUUGCAAAUCAAACAAUUCAUCUAGUGAAUUCUUUCCAUCUCAUUUUGUUGUUAAGGAUCUCAAGAUGGGGGCACAUCUUCUUCAAGGCCCAAAUAAACAUCGUGUUUAUGAAUGACCAAGGCAUGGACAAAGUUAAACUUCAAAACCAUGUGUGCUGGUUAGGGUCAAAGCAAGCAUCACAACUUGGCACAAUUGUCUUGGACAUCCUUCCUCCAAAGUUCUACAUCAUCUUGCCAAAUCAAGUCUUUUACCAUUAUCAUCUUCUAUGUCGUUUAAUUUUCCAUGUAAUUCUUGCUCAUCUCAAGUUCCAAUCUCACCUAUCUCAGAUGCUGUCCCCGCUGGUUCUAUCCCACCUACUACAUUAUCUCCUGUUCCUGCUCCUGGUGAACCAUCAUCUGAGUUCAUGCCUACUAAUUCUGUGCCCCCUCCAACUGCCCCACACACUCAUCCUAUGACGACUCGAUCCCAGAAUAAUAUUUUCAUACUAGGGGGUCUUUGAGCUUCUUCAAGAGAGAGAAGGGGGAGAGAAAUGAUAUUUUGAUUUUUG
rnacentral:lncRNA from 1 species